rnacentral:rRNA from 1 species
CCUACGGGAGGCAGCAGUGGGGAGUUUUCCGCAAUGGGCGAAAGCCUGACGGAGCAAUACCGCGUGAGGGAGGAAGGCUCUUGGGUUGUAAACCUCUUUUCUCAGGGAAGAACAAAAUGACGGUACCUGAGGAAUAAGCAUCGGCUAACUCCGUGCCAGCAGCCGCGGUAAUACGGAGGAUGCAAGCGUUAUCCGGAAUUAUUGGGCGUAAAGCGUCCGCAGGUGGCAGUUCAAGUCUGCUGUCAAAGGUCAGGGCUCAACCCUGAACAGGCAGUGGAAACUGAACAGCUAGAGUGCGGUAGGGGCAGAGGGAAUUCCCAGUGUAGCGGUGAAAUGCGUAGAGAUUGGGAAGAACACCGGUGGCGAAAGCGCUCUGCUAGGCCUGCACUGACACUCAGGGACGAAAGCUAGGGGAGCGAAUGGGAUUAGAUACCCCAGUAGUCCUAGCCGUAAACGAUGGAUACUAGGCGUAGCUUGUAUCGACCCAAGCUGUGCCGUAGCUAACGCGUUAAGUAUCCCGCCUGGGGAGUACGCGCGCAAGCGUGAAACUCAAAUGAAUUGACGG